rnacentral:lncRNA from 1 species
CCAACAUCUAUAGUUAUGGCAGACACCACCAGAUGGCUAACACAACAGAGAGAGAGAGAGAGAGAGAGAGCACGAGCAGGGGAAUGGAUAGGCAGAGGGAGAAGCAGACUCCACUGAGCAGGGAGCCCAACACGGGCAGGGACCCCAGGACCCCAGGACCAUGACGAGAGCUGAAAGCAGAAGCUUACCCGCCUGAGCCACACAGAUGCCCCAGAACCUAAGUCAUUUUUAAAUAAUCUAUGGAAGACUGUGGAAGAUGUCAUCAAG